rnacentral:rRNA from 1 species
UACGAAGGGGGCUAGCGUUGUUCGGAAUUACUGGGCGUAAAGGGCGCGUAGGCGGUGUGUCAAGUCAGGCGUGAAAGCCCCGGGCUUAACCUGGGAACUGCGUUUGAUACGGGUGGGCUAGAGUUCGGGAGAGGAGAGUGGAAUUCCCAGUGUAGAGGUGAAAUUCGUAGAUAUUGGGAAGAACACCGGUGGCGAAGGCGGCUCUCUGGACCGAUACUGACGCUGAGGCGCGAAAGCGUGGGGAGCAAACAGG